rnacentral:lncRNA from 1 species
CUAGCUCCUCUUAUCCUAGCUAGGCAAUCAGUUUAGGGCAAACAUAUUAGGUAGAAAGGGUAAAUGAAAAUGUUUUCCUAGCAUGCAGAGAUUUGUUUUUUUGGUUUCUUUUGCCAUAUUUCAAACAUGAGGGAGAAAAACAACAACAGAAUCUGAAGAUUUAUCAGCUUCUCCUAGUGGCGGUUUUAAGAAAACUGGGUAGGUUUUUAAAUUAUACAUGAAAACAUCCGGGAUCUAGAAUGGAUACAUGUCCCAGUGUUUCUGAAAAGUCUUUGCCUCUUCAGAUGCUCUAUGUAGCUAAGCCAGGAAAUGAUACACACACAGGCACAUUGGAAACGCAGUAGAAAAUGGCUGCCAAUUUAAAACCAGAAGUUAAGAAGAGCAAACUCGAAUGUACAGCAAGAGAGCUUCAGGCUGGACUGGCUUCCAGCAGAAGUGGGACUGGAAACCUCGGAUUCUAUUGUCUCUUCUCUGUGAAGUGGGAAAACAUAUUGCUGAGUUGAGUAAAUAUUUCCUUCCAUAAAGGUAAAUAAGCAUCUCAAGAGCAAGUUUCUACAUUUUGUAUUUCCCUGUUUUAUUUCUGUAAAAUUGUGCAACCAAGAAUUAUGACCUACUGAUAUUAGAAUAAAAUUUGCAGAAGUUUGACUACAUGA